AAUAAUAAGCCCAAUCGCAUGGGAGGUGUGCUGGCCAGUGGAAGGUGUAUGCAUUGUGAACAGACCUGUUUGGGCCUUGGGCCCAAACAGUCAAGGUGUGACCAAAUCCAAACGUAACAAGAGUUUACUGAAGGAAAGAAAGAAGAAAAAGCACUUAUGGAAAAGCGCUUACCACGUAUGAUCUUUCUUCUUCCGCUUCACUUCGGACUUCUUCCUCCUCUGCGUGUGGUUGCUGUUGCGAGAAUCAAAGUCAAUGGCGACUGGACACGUCGGAUCCGUAUGUUGAUGCACCGCGUGGUUAUGGCUUCGUACGAUCUUCAGAUCAUCGGCGCGAAGUUGUUGUUUGUUGACGAUGAGUAGUCGUAGUCAUUGAGGGAGAUGAAGCGGAUUCGGGUGUUGAUUGAAUGAAGCAAACUUCGGCGAUCGAAACCGAGUGAUGAACGAUGAUGCUCGCAACAGAGCGAAUGGCGACGAGGCUCGAAGUGAAGACAAUGAUCGGAAGCGAUUCAAUUCCGGAAAGCUUUAUGCUUUGGUUAUGGACUGCUACAUUUUCACACUUUUGUUUGCAUUCCACCUGCGUUUUAAUGAGUCAUGGUAGCAGCUUUUGUGGAGCAUUACUUUCAAUUUCCUGCUAUGCUGACUUGGGCUUUGGAUGGACAUGUAAUUUGGUUUAUCAUUGGAUGUGGUUAAUUGAAAGUUAAAAAAAUAAAUGGGCUUAUGCAUUGUUUUGGACA